GACGAACGCUGGCGGCGUGCUUAACACAUGCAAGUCGAACGGAAAGGCCCUGCUUUUGUGGGGUGCUCGAGUGGCGAACGGGUGAGCAACACGUGAGUAACCUGCCCUUGACUUUGGGAUAACUUCAGGAAACUGGGGCUAAUACCGGAUAGGAGCUCCUGCUGCAUGGUGGGGGUUGGAAAGUUUCGGCGGUUGGGGAUGGACUCGCGGCUUAUCAGCUUGUUGGUGGGGUAGUGGCUUACCAAGGCUUUGACGGGUAGCCGGCCUGAGAGGGUGACCGGCCACAUUGGGACUGAGAUACGGCCCAGACUCCUACGGGAGGCAGCAGUCGGGAAUAUUGCACAAUGGGCGGAAGCCUGAUGCAGCAACGCCGCGUGCGGGAUGACGGCCUUCGGGUUGUAAACCGCUUUCGCCUGUGACGAAGCGUGAGUGACGGUAAUGGGUAAAGAAGCACCGGCUAACUACGUG
rnacentral:rRNA from 1 species